GGAUCAAUCAUGGCAA
rnacentral:misc_RNA from 1 species